GAACGUCCCUCGUUACUGAGCACACCUUCCACUCAUCGUAGCGGAAAUGAUUGACGUUUUUGGCUGACACAUCAAACUUGCUGACGUGAGCGAGUGACAAAGACAUGUAGGAGGAAAACAGAAACGAAAAGGUGCAAUCUUUAACCACGAUGCGAGUGAUGAAAUCCUAAAUUGUUUAUUUCAAGUGUUGCAUUUAUUGAAUUUGUUAUUUUCUAUGCUUAACUCUAAAUUUGUUAUUCUACUUACUUCCUAAGUUACAUACAGCUAGGCUACAUUGAAUUUGCAGUAGCUGCAACCGUGUAUCGAAACAAAAUAUGGAUUCGUUAUGAUUUGAUACGACAUUCCUACAAGCAAUUAUUCCAAAACACUUUCCGGGAUAGAAGCUCGAGAAAUUACAAAACGAAACUUUAACGUCGGAACCAAUAAACCCGUUUAAAAGUUCGGAACCGUGUAUUUCUCAUUGCCCAAGCAACACC